GGAAUAUUGGACAAUGGGCGCAAGCCUGAUCCAGCCAUGCCGCGUGCAGGAUGACGGUCCUAUGGAUUGUAAACUGCUUUUGCACAGGAAGAAACAACGCUACGUGUAGCGUCUUGACGGUACUGUGAGAAUAAGGAUCGGCUAACUCCGUGCCAGCAGCCGCGGUAAUACGGAGGAUCCAAGCGUUAUCCGGAAUCAUUGGGUUUAAAGGGUCCGUAGGCGGUUUAGUAAGUCAGUGGUGAAAGCCCAUCGCUCAACGGUGGAACGGCCAUUGAUACUGCUAAACUUGAAUUAUUAGGAAGUAACUAGAAUAUGUAGUGUAGCGGUGAAAUGCUUAGAGAUUACAUGGAAUACCAAUUGCGAAGGCAGGUUACUACUAAUGGAUUGACGCUGAUGGACGAAAGCGUGGGUAGCGAACAGGAUUAGAUACCCGAG
rnacentral:rRNA from 1 species